CCUACGGGAGGCAGCAGUAGGGAAUUUUGCGCAAUGGGGGAAACUCUGACGCAGCAACGCCGCGUGAAUGAUGAAGCCCUUCGGGGUGUAAAGAUCUGUCAGUGGGGACGAAACCUGACGGUACCCACAGAGGAAGCACCGGCUAACACCGUGCCAGCAGCCGCGGUAAUACGGGGGGUGCAAGCGUUGUCCGGAAUCAUUGGGCGUAAAGAGGUCGUAGGUGGCGCGUUAAGUCUGGUGCUAAAAGCGGAAGCUCAACUUCCGUACGGCACUGGAUACUGGUGUGCUUGAGUGCGGGAGGGGUAAAGGGAAUUCCUGGUGUAGCGGUGGAAUGCGUAGAUAUCAGGAGGAACAUCAGUGGCGUAAGCGCUUUGCUGGGCCGUAAUUGACACUGAGGAACGAAAGCCGGGGGAGCAAAUGGGAUUAGAUACCCGUGUAGUC
rnacentral:rRNA from 1 species